rnacentral:rRNA from 1 species
UACAGGGGGGGCAAGCGUUGUUCGGAAUUACUGGGCGUAAAGGGCUCGUAGGCGGCCAACUAAGUCACACGUGAAAUCCCCAGGCUUAACCUGGGAACUGCGUGUGAUACUGGAUGGCUUGAAUCCGGGAGAGGGAUGCGGAAUUCCAGGUGUAGCGGUGAAAUGCGUAGAUAUCUGGAGGAACACCGGUGGCGAAGGCGGCAUCCUGGACCGGUAUUGACGCUGAUGAGCGAAAGCGUGGGGAGCAAACAGG